GAUGAACGCUGGCGGCGUGCCUAAUACAUGCAAGUCGAGCGAACAGACGAGGAGCUUGCUCCUCUGACGUUAGCGGCGGACGGGUGAGUAACACGUGGAUAACCUACCUAUAAGACUGGGAUAACUUCGGGAAACCGGAGCUAAUACCGGAUAAUAUAUUGAACCGCAUGGUUCAAUAGUGAAAGACGGUUUUGCUGUCACUUAUAGAUGGAUCCGCGCCGCAUUAGCUAGUUGGUAAGGUAACGGCUUACCAAGGCAACGAUGCGUAGCCGACCUGAGAGGCGGAUCGGCCACAUUGGAACUGGACCGCGGUCCAGAGUCCUGCGGGAGGCAGCAGUAGGGAAUCGGCCGCAGCGGGCGAAAGCCUUACGGAGCAACGCGGCGUGAGUGAUGAAGAUCUUCGGAGCGUAAAACUCUGUUAUUAGGGAAGAACAAAUGUGUAAGUAACUAUGCACGGCUUGACGGUACCUAAUCAGAAAGCCACGGCUAACUACGUG
rnacentral:rRNA from 1 species